rnacentral:rRNA from 13 species
UAAUAUAAUGAAAGGAAACAUCCUAUUAGUUUAUAUUUAAAGCAAAAGCGAGUAUAAAAGUAGUAACGGCGAGUGAAACUUUAAAUUUUUAUUUUAACUAAACGUUCAAAAAUUUCCGUAGAAAGUAAAUAAGUCUUUUAUAUGUUUAAAAUAAAAAUUUGAUAAAAGCGUUUGUAAAUAUGCUUUAAAAAAAGAAGAAUCAUCUUCUGUAAAAUAAAAAACAAAUACUGAUAGUGAAAAAGUAUUGUAAAAGAAAGCUACUAAAGCUAACAUUAAAAUGUUAUGCUAAAUAUUGAAUAUAAAAAAUUAGCUUUUGUUUUUAUUCGAUCUUUAUUAAAGAUGUACUUUUUGUAUUACGGGCUAAUGAGUUAAUGUAAAUAGCAAGCUUUAAAGCGUAGUAAUAACGUGUGAAAACGAUAUUUUUCUUCAAAAAUAAAUAUCUUUUUUUAGUUAUUUAUUUUAGACACGAAACCAGUGUGAUCUAAUCAAUAAUAAACGGAAGAUUGUUUUAUUCGCAAUUUGAAGGUUAAACCUGUGUUUGUUGCAAGAAACUUGGAAAAUUAUUGAUUCGUUGUGAAAGGCAAAUCAAACCUGGAGAUAGCUUGUACUCUACGAAAUUUUUUUAAGAAAAGCUUUUAUUUACUGACUUUCAAAACUAAGUUAAAGCAAGUUUUCUACAAAGGUUGUGCAAACAUUACUGAAUAGAUAAAAACUUUGAAUUUAGCGAAAAUGAUCAAAAUAAAAAGUGAGACUAAAGGCCAGAAAGUCUCUUCGUCAAAAGGGAAACAACCCAAGAAUGUAAUUUAAGGUUUAUAAUCUUUAAGAAGUUUAAUAUUGUUUUUUUAAUAUGUCUUUCCGAUUGUUAGCUUAGAAACAGCGAUCUUUUUAAGAAAACGUAACAGUUCGUGGAAUUAUAUUGUAGAAAAAAGAACAAAAAAUUUGUUCCAUUCUCUUCAUAUGUAAAAGCGCAUAAAAAAUAGAAUAAAAUUAGUAAAGAGCCGAAAAUACAUAAUCUGCUUAUAGAUUAGUAGUAGAGCAUCUUGUAUUUAAACAGUUUGUUUUGUGAAAAAUAAAGGUAAAUCAAGAGGAAAAUAUUAGCAUAAGUAACAUUAAAAAGAAUUUGAAUUUCUUUCACUGCAUAAUUGAAGGUUUGUUCGUGUGCAAUUUGUUAUUCAUGAUUUAAUCCAGUUUCUAAGUUGCAGGCGAAAGCUGAGAACAAUGAAAAGUCGUCGUUUUGUCAACUAACUAAAAAACCUGACUUUUUACUUUUGUUUAAAGAGCGAACGAAAAAUAUACAUGUGGGUUAAAUUUUUAAGGUUUCGCAAGGUUUUCUGGAAAAAAGUUUUUUUGACGUUAUUUAAAAGGUAAAAAAACGAUAUUCAACUGUACUAAGCCCGAAACAGGUUAAUUUGUAGAUUUCUACUAAAGUGUAAAACGUAAUAAUAAAUAUGGAACUCGGCAAAUUUUCCAUUUACUCUUCGGAGAGAGGCAACUGUUUUAUUUUUAUUAAAAUAAUAAAAUUGUUUUCAAGAAAUCAGAAUUCGCAACAAGUUAUUAAAACUUUAAAACUAUGCUAACUUUUUUUAAGGCUGUAUAUGGUUUGACCAGUGCUCAAUGCUUUUAACAUAACAAAAAGCGUUUCUUGCGUUUUUUUUAAUGCAAAGUUAAUAGCGGUUUUAUCUUGAGAAUCAAAAUGUAGCGAAAUUCCUUGUCUGAUAAAUACAGUCCUGCACGAAUCUGGUAAUGACGCAUUCACUGUCAUAUUUGUUAUUUUUGUGAAAUUGGAUUUUGAGUGAAGAUACUCAAUAAAAUCUCAUAAAGACGAAAAGACCUCGUGCAUUUUUACUUAUUUUAGCAAUUGUUUAAUUUCGUCUUUUUUGUAAAGUAUAUGUAGUAGCUUUUACGUUUUUUAAAGAUUCUUUUUUAUUAAGCAAGCUUUAGUGAAAUACUGCUCAAUUUUGCGAAUUAAACUUAUCUUAUUUAGAUACAUUUGCUGAUUCUUAGUUUUCUUGGGACGAGAUUCUUUCAAAAAGUAACAAAGAAGCACAAAGGUAAAAAGAGUAGAAAAAUUUCUUUACUUUAAGCGUAAAAGUGAUUUUUGCUUUAUUAUAAGACAGAUUAGUCGAAUAAUAACGUAAGUUUGUUUUAGAGAACCAAUUUGACUUAAUGAAAAGAAGAUUGAUCAACAGAUAAAAAAUACGCCGGGGAUAACAGAAUAAUAAAAAUUGAGCGAUCUUAGCGACGUUUUUACUUGUGACCUCGAUGUCGGCUCGUCGCAACCUGGAAGUGAAGUAUUUUCCAAAGGUUUAACUGUUCGUUAAAUAAUGCGGUACGUGGCUGGGUUUAGAACGAUGUGAAUCAGUUUGGCCUCUGACUUAUGAGAAAAGAAAAACAGAACAUAUUAUAAUUCUUGUAUGAGAAGACCGAAAAGUAAAAGCCGCUGGUUU